CCGUGUGUCAGCCAGGAACAGGUGAAGAAGUUUGUUGGAGCCGAGCUCAGGCGGUAAACAGGAGAGGUGAUCACUGCUGGACUGUAAAAGGCAAAGACAGAAACAGAACAAGGAGAAUGUUGUGCGGAGUGAAGACUGUACAAGAACAGUAGCUUUUCAGAAAAUUGAAGAAGAAAAGAAAAAGGACUAGAAGAGGGUGGUGCAGUAACCAGAAUUGAUCCUGUGCUUUCCUCCUGAGCCUCAGAUGGUCUAAGGAUGUAGCUCACACAUUUGUAAUUUCAAAAUCGGUUCCUUCUGAAGUUUCAUGCAGCCGAAGGCCAGGGAAUCACUGGAUCCUUCCAGAACAUGGACAGAAGGGGGCAGCGGUGUCUGCUCAGCAUGGGUCUUAGCUGCAGUGUUUCUUUCUUCUCUGAAAUGGAGUGGUGAGUGGAUAAAGUUAAGCAUAUGGUGUACCACAGCUGAGCGCUGUCCAAGAGGAAUAAGGAGUGUAACAGUCACAGGCUACAAGAGAGGAGAAGAGGCAUUCCCUUAUUCUCUGGUAUCUCGUGGGUCCUCAGGAAGUUCAUUGUAAGCUAAUAUUGUAUCCUGUUUUGGCACUAUCUUUCUUUGCAAAAUAACAAACAAAACACAAACAAACAAAAAGGGUCUUGAUUGAUUCAAGAACUAAAGAUGUUUUCAACUCUCAUGAUGUUUUCAUUGCCUGUAAAUUCAUCAUGGAUGCCUGCAAGUGGCGUCUUUUAUGCCUUAAAAUGUCCAUUUUUGAGUUUUUUUUUUAACAAAUUUUCCUUUGCUUUAUUUCCUCAAAAUAUUUUUCAGUUGUUUGUAUACACCAUUCCAAAACUCAGAAAGGUGCACUUUCAGAGUCCCCAAAACACUGCGUAAUUAAAUCAGCUCUGUGUAGUCUCAUAAGUGUUCCAAAUAUUCUGAUAUAAUAUAGCUUACAUAGAAAUGCAACUAAGAUAGAUUCAACGAAGCCUUCCUAGUCACCACAAACUGUACUCUGGGAAAACAAUGCCCACAAAGCAGCAUGUCCUCCAGAAGUCCUGUGACAUUAAGAGAAACUGAGACAGUAGUGUAAACCCUAAAGGUGACUAUUGUCUGUAUUGCAAUAUAGUAUUUCAUUUAUGAGCAAAAGGCUCGGCUUUGCCUUCACCUGGUUCAUUAAUGGCUCACGAACCUUUUAUACAAUUAUUAGCUGAAGUAAUUUCAUCAAAGUAAACUUAAUUCUGUUAAGAUUGAACUUAUGCCAAGGACUUAGGAAGAUCUUUUGGCAGAUUAAAAGUAAAAUGAGUCACUCUUUCAGUGGUGCUGAAUGUUUUAUAAUCCCUGUUUUUAAAAAAGGCAGAUUUAUUUCUGCUUCAAACUUUACAAAAGUUAAAAUUUAGCCACCAGAAAUAGAUAGAAAGGCCAAACACUUGAACAUUAAGAAUAUAUAUUCUAUAUCACAUAAUGUUAUGUAGAAAACAUUGUAAUGUCCAUAAGAGAAUAACUUUAAACCAAACAAAUUAAUAAUAAUAAUAAUAAUAAUAAUAAUAAUAAUCAGCACAAAAAUAGGAGCAACUCAUAUCUUGAGUAUGAUAGAGUGAAGAUUUUUAUCAAAUGCUCCAUAGGAAAGGAGAACAAGCCCUGUGUUUGCAGAACACAUUGAGACAGUGCUUAACAUACAGAAUGCAUCAGGGGAAGGACUUAGGAAGGAACUAAGAAAGGAUAGAAUUACCAGGGUAUUUUUAAAGGCUGAUAGUGUAAAAUAGGGUAAAUGAGGAAGAAAAGGACGAUGGAGCUGAGAAAUGGCUCAGGAGUUAAGAACAUGGUUUGCUCUGUCUAGAGAGAGUCAGAUCUGAGGCUCCAGCACUUAUACUACGCACUUCACAAAUGGCUGUAACUCUAGCUCCAAGCAAUCAGAUGCCCUCCCUGGCAUCUGGAGGAAUACUUACAUAUGUAAUGUUCACACACACACACACACACACACACACACACACACCACAACACACUCAUACACACACGCACACACACACACAUUCACACACACACAUUCACACACACACAUUCACACACACCACAACACACUCAACACACAUACACAUUUACAUGCUAAAAAUGGAAUAAGUCUUGAAAAUAAUAAAACAUGCAGUACCCUAAUAGAAGAGACGAUGGUAU